AACAUCACUUUUAUAGCAGCAUCACUUGCACAAGAGCAUCACAAAACAACACCAACAGUAGCAUUUGACAUCAAUAAAAGUGAGUCCCAUACAUGUAGCAACAGCUGGUUACAAUUACAUCAAGUUGAUGACACCAAGUUCAAAAUAAAUGUUUUAACCAUCGUAAAGACAGGAAUUAGGACCACUUGUUCUUAACUGCUACUCCCUCCGUCCGAAAAUACUUGUCAUCAAAAUGGAUAAAAAGGGAUGCAUCUAGAACUAAAAUACAUCUAGAUACAUCUCCUUUUAUUCAUUUUGAUGACAAGUAUUUCCGGACGGAGGGAGUACAUUGCAGCGAACAAGCAUAUAUAAUAUCCAAAAGGCACCAAUCAAGCACCGUUCUUCUCAUUCAACAUCAAUAGCCAAUCCUUCCUCAAGAUAAUCCUGAAAAGAACCGAUUCAAAGUAGAGUUAUAUCAAGAUAAUCAUUUUCCUCUUUCUCUUGUUGUUCUCUUCAGUUAUUUAAGAAACCAAUUUGCUUCAUCCGACAUUAUGGAAGUACGUAAUAAUUAAGUAAUUAGGCAUCCAUCACUUGUACAACAUAUCAAUCAAGAAACUGUACAUUCAAUCAAACAGCCAAUUCAGAUCAACAACACAUGCCUAUCUCAGGUGAACAUUAGACUGCCCUUUCAGAUCAACAACUCAUGCCUAUCUCGGACUAAUUCAUACAAACAUGGCAAGAAAAAUUCAAAACAACAUGGCAUAUAUUAUACCUAUCUCACGUGAAAAUUGGACUACUAAUCCAGAUCUACAUCACAAGUGAAGAGCACGUAC
rnacentral:lncRNA from 1 species